AUUGAACGCUGGCGGCAGGCCUAACACAUGCAAGUCGAGCGAGCGGCGGACGGGUGUGUAAUGUAUGGGGACUGCCCGAUAGAGGGGGAUAACUACUGGAAACGGUGGCUAAUACCGCAUACUGUAGGAUAACCCAUAUGGGAUUAGCUAGUGGGUAAGGUAAUGGCUAACCUAGGCGACGAGCCCUAGCUGGUCUGUGAGGAUGAUCAGCCACACUGGAACUGAGACACGGCCCAGACUCCUACGGAGGCAGCAGUGGGGAAUAUUGCACAAUGGGCGCAAGCCUGAUGCAGCCAUGCCGCGUGUAUGAAGAAGGCCCUAGGGUUGUAAAGUACUUUCAGUCGGGAGGCGUUACCGGCAGAAGAAGCACCGGCUAACUACGUGCCAGCAGCCGCGGUAAUUC
rnacentral:rRNA from 1 species